rnacentral:rRNA from 1 species
GACGUAGGGGGCCAGCGUUGCUCGGAAUUACUGGGCGUAAAGGGUUCGUAGGCGGUGCGGUAUGUCGGGAGUGAAAUCUCUGGGCUUAACUCAGAGGCUGCUUCCGAAACUGCCGUGCUCGAGUGCGGGAGAGGCGAGUGGAAUUACAGGUGUAGCGGUGAAAUGCGUAGAUAUCUGUAGGAACACCCGUGGCGAAGGCGGCUCACUGGACCACAACUGACGCUGAGGCGCGAAAGCUAGGGGAGCAAACAGG